rnacentral:rRNA from 1 species
GAACAACGCUGGCGGCGUGCCUAAUGCAUGCAAGUCGGACGGGAGCCCCUUCGGGGGUCGACCGUGGCGGACGGGUGAGGAGCACGUGGGGAACCUGCCCAAGCGCGGGGGAUAACCCCGGGAAACCGGGGGUAAGACCCCAUAGCCAUGCACGCUCGUGGGGUGUGCAUGCAAAAGCGUGAGCUGUGCUUGGAGGGUCCUGCGGCCUAUCAGCUGGUUGGUGGGGUAACGGCCUACCAAGGCGANGACGGGUCGCUGGUCUGAGAGGAUGGCCAGCCACAUUGGGGACUGAGAGACGGCCCAGACUCCUACGGGAGGCAGCAGUGGGGAAUCUUGCGCAAUGGCCGAAAGGCUGACGCAGCGACGCCGCGUGUGGGAUGAAGCAUUUCGGUGUGUAAACCACUGUUGCCCGGGACGAACAGCGCUUUUCGAGGCGCCUGACGGUACCGGGUGAGGAG